UACGUAGGCAGCAAGCGUUGUUCGGAAUUACUGGGCGUAAAGCGCACGUAGGCGGCUUUGCAAGUUAGAGGUGAAAGCCUGGGGCUCAACUCCAGAAUUGCCUUUGAAACGGGGACGCUUGAGUCCGAGAGAGGAUGGCGGAAUUCCUAGUGUAGAGGUGAAAUUCGUAGAUAUUAGGAAGAACACCAGUGGCGAAGGCGGCCAUCUGGCUCGGUACUGACGCUCAGGUUCGAAAGCGUGGGGAGCAAACAGG
rnacentral:rRNA from 1 species